rnacentral:tRNA from 3 species
GCCGUGGUGGCGGAAUUGGUAGACGCGCAGGACUUAAAAUCCUGUGGUAGCAAUACCGUGCCGGUUCGAUUCCGGCCCUCGGCACCA